GUGCCAAUUUUCUUUUAUAAUUUUUAAACUAUAAUUCGUAGUUAUAUACUUACAAUGGGAAAAAUUUAGCAUAAUUAGUACUCUAUUUAAAUUGACCUCUCCGAAGAAAAUCGAAAUCGCAUUAAUCCCGUGCCGAGAGGUUAUAUUUAAUAAAAAUUAGGGAGUCACGUCGAUAUUUAGAUCCCCGUCGCGAAUGUAGUUCAUUCUACGACGGUGGCGCCACGUUAUUUCCAGGUUCCAUUGCGAUCACGUUUCGUCUUGGGUGAAGUUUAGUAAAUUUUUCAUUUACGUUCAUCGGUCCAUUUAUAUUGUUUUUAAUUGUUUAUUUUAUUGAUUUCGAAGACAUUCUUCCACCUCGUGGAAUUGGGAUCUUCGUGGGAUCAUUUUACCCUCUUUUAUCGUUUAAUUUAUCUUGAUUUCAGGUUACCUUCAGUUCGACAUCGGUAUGGGGCCACCGAAGAAGUUGAAGGGGGCGGCUCUGAGUUCCCCCGUAAUGCUAAAAUUCUUAGACUAGAAUGGAGCAUUCGGUUUAUUGGUUUAUUAGCCCCCUAACCUAAGCUAACUAACUAACAUCCAAACACUAUCUUUCCUCGAACGAGCGGAGAAAGCGGAACUAUCAGCGGAAAUGACCUAAACAAAACACCCUAUCCGAAAAAUGAGCUGAAAGGGAACUAUGUUGUUGUUAGGGAAGUAUUAUACACUACGUGUACACCCCUCAACGCAGUACGCCGUGGUACACGUCAGGGAAUACUCCCCAAUGGAAGUUGCGCAAAAAAGCACUACUUCCUAAGAAAAUAGGAACCGCCGCAACGUUCAAAUGAACCUACGCGGUUGAAAUGUGGUAUUAUUUGAACGGUUAUAUUGGGCAUGCGCCGAUACAGAAGAUGUAUUUUUUUCAAAUGGCGCCAUCUAUACAACUGUCACGGGAACUGUCAAAAAAUCUGGGACAUUACUAUUUUAUGUAAAAAACACCAUUUUUAAGGAAAUUUAACGUGUUUUAUCGUUGUUAUGAAAAUGUCAUCGUAAACAAACCUACAUUUGCACAAUUUCGAGUAAUCGACUUGAUGUCGACCAAAAAUUCAUGCCGAUGUGCAUGUUGCUACGUAGCAUAAAGACAUUUACGAUAGAAAUGGUAUGAAAAUUUAUUAUUGAUGUAACAAAUUAUCCGUGUUCUUCAAGAAGAAGUCCUAUAGGAGGUUAUUCAUCAGUUUAUAUUCCGGUUAGAGCAAAAAGUAUGUCCAAGAUUCUAGCGGAAACGAAAGCAUUUCGUCACAUGAAAUAUUCAUGCUUAGGAAGGUAGCGAAGGAUUAGUUUUAGUUCGUUACCUUCCACUUUUAUUUCUACAUGUCCACAUAGUCUACUAGUAUUAAAGCGACCACCUAUUACCACUUGGUCCAAACAGCGAACUACGAUAUCAUUAUAAAAAGGUAUAAAAGCUCGUACCUACUUCAAAUAUACUUAUUACCAUUGAAGGACACGAUACUGUAAUAUACAGCACCUUAAGUUAUCCAAUACUUGCUUGAGGAUGAAGUCCAUUUGUAAAGAAUCUCCUAUGGAAAGGCACGUGAAUUACUACCUACGAAACACUAUAGGUUCCAACAAAAUUGUAAAAACUUCUUUGUCUUAAAAUUUUUAUGCUUUCCUGUACAUAUUAUAAGGAUUGUGUUAGAUAUCGUGAACAAUUUUAAAAAUCAUCAUAUUUCCAUGCCUAAUACAUUCAUAAACAACAAAUAAAAUAAGGAAUACUACACAAACUCCUCACGACCACUCAAAAUGAUCCAAUUAUUUUCAUGGAUUUCUAUUAUAGCAUGUAAACUCUGUACGUGGAGAAAUCGUAAAGAAAAUUCUCCCGAUGAGGAUGAACCUGUUCUACAGGAGGCUAAAACAACCCCGAGUGUACAAACAGGCUGAGUAGAAAAAUCACUUUGUAUAGGUGUUGUUUCCACAAAAAAAAAACAAAAAUAUUACUCACAAAUUCAAAA